CGUGGGUGGGGAAGGGAAAGAAAGACUAGAGAAGACCGGGUGGGAGGGAGAGGUGCCAUCUAAGACAGAAGUGAGCCAAGAUGCCCAGGGUGUGGCUGAGGGGCAGGUGCAGAGGAAGGAAGAAGCAUUUGUUAGAACAAGCACUUUGGACAGAGAGCGCACCGGGAGGCCCACAGUGCUGAGCCAGGCGAUAGAGGUAGAUAACUCCUUUGAUGAAGACUGACAACUCUUCAAAUACAAUAAGCUACAGUGUUACCAGAUCCAGCUCACUGUGUUUCUCCCCACUCCUGGGCCUACCAGUGUCUCCUCCUCAUUCCCAGCCCCAUCCAGACCUCCAAACCAUGGCACACGGUGUCCUCCUGGCCUUAGGCAAACCUACAGCAGAGCUCGCCUCUGGGCCAGCACCUAAUACAGGUAGGCCUCCCCCAGAACCAUUUGGGCAGGAAUUUCAGGAGCUCCAGAUGCCCGAGCAUAGUUGAUAAGGCAAGGAGUGCAGGCUCUGGGUAGUGAUUCUUUGGUUCUUUGAUUAAUCAGGGCUGUCUCAGGGUUUCUAUUG
rnacentral:sRNA from 1 species